ensembl:lncRNA
GGGAAGAGGAAACAGGAAGCGGGGGUUGUUGUUGUUUUUAGUAGGACACUGGUGCAGCAGUGAAGCCUCGAAGAUCCAGGAUGAAGUGUGCAUAUUUUAACGGAAACUGGACCAGUUUUGGGGAAGUUCCAGCUCCCAGGAUGUGAUGUGGAGACCCAGCCUCGAACAAAGUCAGGCCUGAAAAGGCUAACAACCCUGACCGCGGUGGCCUUGGAUUCCUGGCCAGAGUUGUCUUCAGCCAGUAGUUUGACCCGGAGAAAGAACAAAUAAAUCUUGUGCACCCCAUUGCAGUGCGUGUGGUGGUUGGUUACUGGUCGAUAUUAGAGCUACUUUCGAUUGCACUAUAUGUGUACUGUAUCACAUAACCUCUCUUCUACAAAAAUAUUUACAUCGUAUAGAACGGAAAAUAAAAAAGCCUGGAAUUAUUUGCUCUCUACAUAUAUGUACAUCAAAUGACUACAUUAAAAUAAUUACAUUACACAAUUUGAUCUCCUGAUCUCGAUAUUCCUGAGUCCACACUUGUUUAUAACAUGCACAUUUUGUUUAAAGGCUCUCAUCUGUAUCACAGACGUGUGUGGACACGGAGCGUUUUCAAAUCUACCUGUGCUACUGUGGAUGUAGUCUAAAGCUAUUCCAGCGUGCAGCAAAGCGAGUGAAAUAUGCAACUUCAUCUUAUUCUGCACAUCUUUUCUGCGAGACCUGUUGCAGUAUUGAUGGUCUUGUUGUGAAGGGUCCUCCCACUGUGUGUGGACUGAGUGCAGAUGUGGCUCAGGGGUUGUGUGGAGAUGCUGGACUGGUCUAAGAUGACGAAGCUUCCACUGCACAUUCUGAAUAACACAAAUAUAUCAUCAGA